rnacentral:rRNA from 1 species
UACGGGGGGAGCAAGCGUUGUUCGGAUUUACUGGGCGUAAAGGGCGCGUAGGCGGUCAGCACAAGUCAGUUGUGAAAUCUCCGGGCUUAACUCGGAAAGGUCAACUGAUACUGUGCGACUAGAGUGCGGAAGGGGCAACUGGAAUUCCUGGUGUAGCGGUGAAAUGCGCAGAUAUCAGGAGGAACACCGAUGGCGAAGGCAGGUCUCUGGGCCAUAACUGACGCUGAGAAGCGAAAGCAUGGGGAGCGAACAGG